ACCGUCCCCCUCCUCACCCUUUCCCUGCUGAGCCUGUUCUACAGCACAGCACUGACCGUGACGAGCAUCCGGGGCCCGCCCAACAGCAGGGAGGGCCCCCAGUACUGAGCACAAGCCAGUAAGGCACAGAUGGGGACACGGGACAGGAGGGAGAAUACUGGACUGAAGGGGCCGGGGGUGCAGAAGCCAAGAAGGGCAUUACCUGUUCCCACCACAUGGGGCGCUGCCUCCCAGGGAAGAAGUGUGGAGGAACCUCUAAGAGAAGCCAGCGCUAUGUGCCAGAGUCAACCUGAAGCACCAACCCAGCCUUGAUUCAUGUGCCUUCCUGAUGCAAUAAACUGAUCCCAAAUCA